AAAAUGCGAUACGUAAUGUGAAUUGCAGAAACAAGUGAAUCAUCAAAUCUUUGAACGCAACUUGCGCCUAAGAGUAACUCUCUCAGGCAUACUUGUUUGAGUGUCGGUAAAUAACCUCAUAUAUAUGCAAAUAUAUUAACUUUGAGAUCCAAUUUUUCAUUUUUAUGAGAAAUCGAAUCUUUAACAAGAAAAUCUAUAGUAACAUAAGCUAUAUCAAAUCAUAUAUAGUAAAAGGAAUCUAAUUCCCUAACACUUUCUAUGUUUGAUUAUGAAUUAUGUUUACUUUAUAUUUCAUGAUUUUCGACCUCAAAUCAAGUAAGAAUACCGGCUGAACUUAA
rnacentral:misc_RNA from 1 species